rnacentral:lncRNA from 1 species
GGUCUCGUUGCUAUCUCCGCCACCGCCAGGCCUUGCAAGACGAUCUUCUUCAUCACAUCCACUUCCUCCUCCUACUACCCAGCCGACACUAAUCACCCUGGAAACCCUAAUUUCCCCCACCAAAACCCCACUAAUUCCCCUCGUUUGACCUUCUUCAUCACCGAAAUCCACGAAUUCCACCGCAGCAGGUCCUUCCCCCGUCCGAUCUUCCCCGACCGAGCAGUGGAAGAUGUCGUCUCUUCAAAACCCUCUUCUUCUUCCUCGUUUCGCGAUCGCACCCUGGACAUCAUCAGUAUUGUCGGCGCUCUACUCGUCGGUGUAGGCUGCGGGGCUCUCACCGCCGCAACCAUGUACUUAAUCUGGUCCGUAUGUUCUAGCAGACGCUUGGAUUUCGGC